rnacentral:tRNA from 1 species
GCUCCCGUAGUCCAAUUGGCAGAGGCAGCGGACUUAAAAUCCGUAUAGUGUGGGUUCAAGUCCCACCGGGAGCA